AAUCAACGCUGGCGGCAGGCCUAAUACAUGCAAGUCGGACGGGAUCGGGGAGCUUGCUCCCCGUGAGAGUGGCGCACGGGUGCGUAACACGUAUGUAACCUACCUUUAUCAGGGGGAUAGCCUCUCGAAAGAGAGAUUAACACCGCAUAACAUCACAUGAUAGCAUUAUCGAGUGAUCAAAUAUUCAUAGGAUAAAGAUGGGCAUGCGGGACAUUAGCUAGUUAGCGGGGUAACGGCCCACCAAGGCGACGAUGUCUAGGGGAUCUGAGAGGAGGACCCCCCACACUGGUACUGAGACACGGACCAGACUCCUACGGGAGGCAGAGGUAAGGAAUAUUGGUCAAUGGACGCAAGUCUGAACCAGCCAUGCCGCGUGCAGGAGGACGGCCCUACGGGUUGUAAACUGCUUUUGUACCGGAAUAAACCCUUUUACGUGUAAGGGGCUGAAUGUACGGUAAGAAUAAGGAUCGGCUAACUCCGUGCCAGCAGCAGCCGCAGUAA
rnacentral:rRNA from 1 species